rnacentral:rRNA from 1 species
AGUGAACGCUGGCGGUAGGCCUAACACAUGCAAGUCGAACGGCAGCACAGGAGAGCUUGCUCUCUGGGUGGCGAGUGACGGACGGGUGAGGAAUACAUCGGAAUCUGCCCAGUCGUGGGGGAUAACGUAGGGAAACUUACGCUAAUACCGCAUACGACCUUCGGGUGAAAGAGGGGGAUCGCAAGACCUCUCGCGAUUGGAUGAGCCGAUGUCGGAUUAGCUAGUUGGCGGGGUAAUGGCCCACCAAGGCGACGAUCCGUAGCUGGUCUGAGAGGAUGAUCAGCCACACUGGAACUGAGACACGGUCCAGACUCCUACGGGAGGCAGCAGUGGGGAAUAUUGGACAAUGGGCGCAAGCCUGAUCCAGCCAUACCGCGUGGGUGAAGAAGGCCUUCGGGUUGUAAAGCCCUUUUGUUGGGAAAGAAAUCUUUCAGGCUAAUACCCUGGGAGGAUGACGGUACCCAAAGAAUAAGCACCGGCUAACUUCGUG